CCUACGGGAGGCAGCAGUGGGGAAUAUUGGACAAUGGGCGCAAGCCUGAUCCAGCCAUGCCGCGUGAGUGAUGAAGGCCUUAGGGUUGUAAAGCUCUUUUGCCAGGGAAGAUAAUGACUGUACCUGGAGAAUAAGCCCCGGCUAACUUCGUGCCAGCAGCCGCGGUAAUACGAAGGGGGCUAGCGUUGUUCGGAAUCACUGGGCGUAAAGCGCACGUAGGCGGACUUUUAAGUCAGGGGUGAAAGCCUGAGGCUCAACCUCAGAACUGCCCUUGAUACUGGGAGUCUUGAGUAUGGUAGAGGUUGGUGGAACAGCAAGUGUAGAGGUGAAAUUCGUAGAUAUUUGCUAGAACACCAGUGGCGAAGGCGGCCAACUGGACCAUAACUGACGCUGAGGUGCGAAAGCGUGGGGAGCAAACAGGAUUAGAUACCCUGGUAGUCCACGCCGUAAACGAUGGAUGCUAGCCGUUAGCCAGCUUGCUGGGUAGUGGCGCAGGUAACCCUUUAAGCNUCCGCCGNGGAGGUACGGUCGCGAGAGUUAAACGUUAAAGGUAAAGUUAGUACGGUUCGUUGUAGACGUUGCCGACGGACGACGACGAGGGAGGUUAGG
rnacentral:rRNA from 1 species